rnacentral:lncRNA from 1 species
GAAGCUUCAUCAACAACGGCGAUCUCUAACCUUGAGGACCCCUCUAAUCCAUUCCUACCUUUUCAUCUCAUAACCAACAACCCUUAUUCUUCUAUAGACACAACACAACCAUCGACGGGACCCCUCACCAGCCACACACGACCUCCCUCCAACCACCAACCAUCUCCCCAAUACACCCCAUCUCUUUCUUCCUCACGUCACAACAACCUAACACCUCCCCCGAAAACCACCCGCUGCUGGAAACUAGCAGAAGCGGCGUGAGAGAGCAGCAACGAACGAUCACAAAACAGGGAUAGAGAGUGACGAGAAAAGAAGGGAAAACAGGGGAUCAAAAACAAAAGAUAUUCUGUAGUUGCAGACUCAGAUUUUAGUUUUCUUAAAAUUACAAAAAAUAUAUAUAAAAAGAGUUUCUACUUCUUCAUUUUGAUUUCGGUUUUGGUAUUAAAAAUCAUGGUAUUUGCUUGAGGUUUAGAAGUCCGCUGAUUUUGGUUGCCGGUUUGAGGUUCGUUACGGUCGAGUUUGAGUUCGUCGAGGUCUCUACGUCCAAGGAUUUUUUCUGCCCGGGUUUCUAUUCAUACAACAUUGCUAAAUUGACAAAGCUCUCUUUGAGGUCCUUUUCCCACUCCUUUCUUUAAUUAAUACUUGAUAUCUUUGUGUUCUAUUUAGUGCUUGUGGUUUGAAGGAAUCUGCAUUGAGUUUUGUCAUAGCUUUUAAUUUAAUUUUCCUUGUUUGCCUUUGUAGUGCUCUCAUUUUAUUAGUACAUUGGACUGAUGAAUUUGGAAUUAAGAUACAAGAUGCCUAAAGUAAUUUAUGGUUCAUGAGUUGAUAAGGGAAUGGAUUAAAGCUGAAACAAUGGUUUGGGUUAAAAAUGACAUUAAAGUAAAUGUUGGAAUGACGUUCUGGGUUUUACAUCGGAUGUGCUUGCCGUUCAAGUUUUGAAUUAUUUAUUUUACCAUGUCAUUUUAUUCAAUUGAGUCGUAACUUGAAUUACUAUUUGUUUAACACUAUUCCCUAAUAAUGUGGGAAUUAGAUUUGAGAAAUUUACAAAAAAUGAAGAUGUGAAUGGAUUUGGUGCUCCGUUAAGUUGACCCAUUUUUCUAUAUUUCAUAUCCCU